GAUGAAGAACGCAGCGAAAUGCGAUAAGUAAUGUGAAUUGCAGAAUUCAGUGAACCAUCGAAUCUUUGAACGCCCAUUGCGGCCGGCAGUAAUCUGCCGGGCAUGCCUGUCCGAGCGUCAUUUCUACCCUCGAGCGAGUCCAGCAUCUAGGUGCUGGGCCUCGCCCGGCGUUGGAGCACUACGGGAAGCCCUGUGCUGUCCCCCGUAGGCCCCGAAAUGAAGUGGCGGUCCUGCCGCGGCGCCCCCUGCGUAGUAUAACAGCUCUCUUCGGGACCCGGUGGAGGCCUGCCGUCAAACCUAUACUCUCUAAGUUUGACCUCGGAUCAGGUAGGGUUACCCGCUGAACUUAAGCAUAUCAAUAAGCGGAGGA
rnacentral:misc_RNA from 1 species